UGACUGAGAUGUCAGUAGUGUUCAUGCUAAGUCCAAUAAACUUAGGCCUAGACGACAAGUGCCACAGAGACGAGCUUAUUAAAUUAAGGUGAAACGCGGUAAACUCCAUGAGCU
rnacentral:RNase_P_RNA from 1 species